CCUACGGGGGGCAGCAGUAAGGAAUAUUGGUCAAUGGGCGCGAGCCUGAACCAGCCAUGCCGCGUGCAGGAAGACGGCCUUAUGGGUUGUAAACUGCUUUUAUCGGGGAAUAAAACUUUCUACGUGUAGAGAGCUGAAGGUACCCGAAGAAUAAGCAUCGGCUAACUCCGUGCCAGCAGCCGCGGUAAUACGGAGGAUGCAAGCGUUAUCCGGAUUCAUUGGGUUGAAAGCGGACUGGUACGUAAGGGGAGAAAUUCUAGUGCUUAACAUUAGACCUGCCAUUGAUACUGUCAGUCUAGAGUAUAGUUGGAGUGGGCGGAAUGUGUCAUGUAGCGGUGAAAUGCUUAGAUAUGACACAGAACACCGAUCGCGAAGGCAGCUCACUAAGCUAAAACUGACGCUCAUGCACGAAAGCGUGGGGAUCAAACAGGAUUAGAUACCCCAGUAGUC
rnacentral:rRNA from 1 species